AUCUGAGUGCUUGCACUUGGAUGGACUGAGUGGCGGACGGGUGAGUAACGCGUGGGUAACCUGCCUUAUACAGGGGGAUAACAGUUGGAAACGACUGCUAAUACCGCAUAAGCGCACGGUAUCGCAUGGUACGGUGUGAAAAACUCCGGUGGUACAAGAUGGACCCGCGUCUGAUUAGCUGGUUGGUGAGGUAACGGCCCACCAAGGCGACGAUCGGUAGCCGACCUGAGAGGGUGAUCGGCCACAUUGGGACUGAGAUACGGCCCAAACUCC
rnacentral:rRNA from 1 species